CCAAUAGCGUAUAUUAAAGUUGUUGCAGUUAAAAAGCUCGUAGUUGAAUUUCGGGAUUGGCGCAUCGGUCGUGCCUCACGGGGUAUGAACUGGUGCAGUCAAUUUCUCACCUUCUGGAGAACCGCGAUGUCCUUAAUUGGAUGCCGCGGGGAACCAGGACCUUUACUUUGAAAAAAUUAGAGUGUUUAAAGCAGGCAUUUUUGCUUGAAUACAUUAGCAUGGAAUAAUAAAAUAGGACGGCAUGGUUCUAUUUUGUUGGUUUCUAGGACCACCGUAAUGAUUAAUAGGGAUAGUUGGGGGCAUUAGUAUUCAAUUGUCAGAGGUGAAAUUCUUGGAUUUAUUGAAGACUAACUACUGCGAAAGCAUUUGCCAAGGAUGUUUUCAUUAAUCAAGAACGAAAGUUAGGGGAUCGAGGACGAUCAGAUACCGUCGUAGUCUUAACCAUAAACUAUGCCGACUAGGAAUCAGACGAUGUUAAUUUUUUAAUGACUCGUUUGGCACCUUACG
rnacentral:rRNA from 1 species